rnacentral:rRNA from 1 species
AAGGCGUGGGUAUCAAACAGGAUUAGAUACCCUGGUAGUCCACGCAGUAAACGAUGAUUACUAGGAGUUGCGAUAUACCGUCAAGCUUCCACAGCGAAAGCGUUAAGUAAUCCACCUGGGGAGUACGCCGGCAACGGUGAAACUCAAAGGAAUUGACGGGGGCCCGCACAAGCGGAGGAACAUGUGGUUUAAUUCGAUGAUACGCGAGGAACCUUACCCGGGAUUGAAAUGUAGAUGACGGAUGGUGAAAACCGUCUUCCCUUCGGGGCGUCUAUGUAGGUGCUGCAUGGUUGUCGUCAGCUCGUGCCGUGAGGUGUCGGCUUAAGUGCCAUAACGAGCGCAACCCACAUCGGUAGUUGCUAACAGUUUUCGCUGAGGACUCUACCGAGACUGCCGUCGUAAGGCGUGAGGAAGGUGUGGAUGACGUCAAAUCAGCACGGCCCUUACAUCCGGGGCGACACACGUGUUACAAUGGGAGGGACAAAGGGCAGCUACCGGGCGACCGGAUGCGAAUCUCUAAACCCUUCCCCAGUUCGGAUCGGAGUCCGCAACUCGACUCCGUGAAGCUGGAUUCUUUAAUAAUCGCGCAUCAGCCAUGGCGCGGUGAAUACGUUCCCGGGCCUUGUACACACCGCCCGUCAAGCCAUGGGAGUCGGGGGUUCCUAAGGGCGUAACCGCAAGGGGCGCACUAGGGUAAUACCCGUUCUCGCUAAGUCGUAACAAGGUAGCAAAUAGGG